rnacentral:rRNA from 1 species
AGCAGCCGCGGUAAUUCCAGCUCCAAUAGCGUAUAUUAAAGUUGUUGCAGUUAAAAAGCUCGUAGUUGAAUUUCGGGAUCAAUACGUCGGUCGUGCUUUUGGGUACGUACUGGCGUUAUUGGUUUCUCUCUUCUGACGAACCAUGGUGUCAUUAAUUUGGUGUUAUGGGGAGUUAGGACUGUUACUUUGAAAAAAUUAGAGUGUUUAAAGCAGGCAUUAGCUUGAAUACAUUAGCAUGGAAUAAUGAAAUAGGACGUUUGAUCCUAUUUUGUUGGUUUCUAGGAUCGACGUAAUGAUUAAUAGGGAUAGUUGGGGGCAUUAGUAUUCAAUUGUCAGAGGUGAAAUUCUUGGAUUUAUUGAAGACUAACUACUGCGAAAGCAUUUGCCAAGGAUGUUUUCGUUAAUCAAGAACGAAAGUUAGGGGAUCGAAGACGAUCAGAUACCGUCGUAGUCUUAACCAUAAACUAUGCCGACUAGGGAUCGGAUGAUGUUAAUUUUUUAAUGACUCAUUCGGCGCCUU